GCUCAGGACGAACGCUGGCGGCGUGCCUAAUACAUGCAAGUCGAGCGGACAGAUGGGAGCUUGCUCCCUGAUGUUAGCGGCGGACGGGUGAGUAACACGUGGGUAACCUGCCUGUAAGACUGGGAUAACUCCGGGAAACCGGGGCUAAUACCGGAUGSUUGUUUGAACCGCAUGGUUCAGACAUAAAAGGUGGCUUCGGCUACCACUUACAGAUGGACCCGCGGCGCAUUAGCUAGUUGGUGAGGUAACGGCUCACCAAGGCGACGAUGCGUAGCCGACCUGAGAGGGUGAUCGGCCACACUGGGACUGAGACACGGCCCAGACUCCUACGGGAGGCAGCAGUAGGGAAUCUUCCGCAAUGGACGAAAGUCUGACGGAGCAACGCCGCGUGAGUGAUGAAGGUUUUCGGAUCGUAAAGCUCUGUUGUUAGGGAAGAACAAGUGCCGUUCAAAUAGGGCGGCACCUUGACGGUACCUAACCAGAAAGCCACGGCUAACUACGUGCCAGCAGCCGCGGUAAUACGUAGGUGGCAAGCGUUGUCCGGAAUUAUUGGGCGUAAAGGGCUCGCAGGCGGUUUCUUAAGUCUGAUGUGAAAGCCCCCGGCUCAACCGGGGAGGGUCAUUGGAAACUGGGGAACUUGAGUGCAGAAGAGGAGAGUGGAAUUCCACGUGUAGCGGUGAAAUGCGUAGAGAUGUGGAGGAACACCAGUGGCGAAGGCGACUCUCUGGUCUGUAACUGACGCUGAGGAGCGAAAGCGUGGGGAGCGAACAGGAUUAGAUACCCUGGUAGUCCACGCCGUAAACGAUGAGUGCUAAGUGUUAGGGGGUUUCCGCCCCUUAGUGCUGCAGCUAACGCAUUAAGCACUCCGCCUGGGGAGUACGGUCGCAAGACUGAAACUCAAAGGAAUUGACGGGGGCCCGCACAAGCGGUGGAGCAUGUGGUUUAAUUCGAAGCAACGCGAAGAACCUUACCAGGUCUUGACAUCCUCUGACAAUCCUAGAGAUAGGACGUCCCCUUCGGGGGCAGAGUGACAGGUGGUGCAUGGUUGUCGUCAGCUCGUGUCGUGAGAUGUUGGGUUAAGUCCCGCAACGAGCGCAACCCUUGAUCUUAGUUGCCAGCAUUCAGUUGGGCACUYUAAGGUGACUGCCGGUGACAAACCGGAGGAAGGUGGGGAUGACGUCAAAUCAUCAUGCCCCUUAUGACCUGGGCUACACACGUGCUACAAUGGRCAGAACAAAGGGCAGCGAAACCGCGAGGUUAAGCCAAUCCCACAAAUCUGUUCUCAGUUCGGAUCGCAGUCUGCAACUCGACUGCGUGAAGCYGGAAUCGCUAGUAAUCGCGGAUCAGCAUSCCGCGGUGAAUACGUUCCCGG
rnacentral:rRNA from 1 species